GUCACUACAGUAUAAACUCAGUAUAGACCAGGUUAUGAGGUUGCUAGGUGUUGGGUUAAGGUCACUACAGUAUAAACUCAGUAUAGACCAGGUUAUGAGGUUGCUAGGUGUUGGGUUAAGGUCACUACAGUAUAAACUCAGUAUAGACCAGGUUAUGAGGUUGCUAGGUGUUGGGUUAAGGUCACUACAGUAUAAACUCAGUAUAGACCAGGUUAUGAAAUUGCUAGGUGUUGGGUUAAGGUCACUACAGUAUAAACUCAGUAUAGACCAGGUUAUGAGGUUGCUAGGUGUUGGGUUAAGGUCACUACAGUAUAAACUCAGUAUAGACCAGGUUAUGAGGUUGCUAGGUGUUGGGUUAAGGUCAGUAUCAACUAGGUUGUGGGGACUGUCUGGUAAUUAGUCAAAUCUUAUGUCAUUGGUGUAGAAAAAGUAAUAAUCAAUAUGCUGGAUGUAUUAUAAACAUUGUAUUGUGAAGACAUGUUUUAUUUAGUUAAUGUCAUUACACUAGACCAAAACCUGUCUAGCUGUCUGUUGAAUUACACUAGACCAAAACCUGUCUAGCUGUGUGUUGAAUUACACUGGACCUAAACCUGUCUAGCUGUGUGUUGAAUUACACUGGACCAAAACCUGUCUAGCUGUCUGUUGAAUUACACUGGACCUAAACCUGUCUAGCUGUCUGUUGAAUUACACUGGACCAAAACCUG
rnacentral:lncRNA from 1 species